CAGAAGUCACCUUGGUGGCAUCUGAGAACAGCCGAAGCUGCACUCUGCCCGAGAGCCGUUCUUUGCUUUGCCUGCGGGAGCUUCUGCUUCCACGUGGCGGUGCAAGACAUCGAGAUCAGGAAGCCAAACCAUAUUCGCAGGAAAGAGGAUGAUGGCUCUGCUUGUGUUUGUUAAAAUCUCUCAAAAAACCUGGCCUAUGGCGCUCGCCGGAACCGAAGACUAGGAAGAAACCAAGGGUUGGAACUGGGAAGAGAGAGGUUCCCUCCGCAUGCGGGAAGGAACCCAUUGCGG
rnacentral:lncRNA from 1 species